rnacentral:rRNA from 1 species
UACGAAGGGGGCUAGCGUUGCUCGGAAUCACUGGGCGUAAAGCGCACGUAGGCGGAUUGUUAAGUCAGGGGUGAAAUCCUGGAGCUCAACUCCAGAACUGCCUUUGAUACUGGCGAUCUCGAGUCCGGGAGAGGUGAGUGGAACUGCGAGUGUAGAGGUGAAAUUCGUAGAUAUUCGCAAGAACACCAGUGGCGAAGGCGGCUCACUGGCCCGAUACUGACGCUGAGGCACGAAACGCGUGGGGAGCAAACAGG